CAGCCGCCGCGGGAAUACGAAGGGGGCUAGCGUUGUUCGGAUUUACUGGGCGUAAAGGGCGCGUAGGCGGACUGAUAAGUCAGGGGUGAAAUCCCAAGGCUCAACCUUGGAACUGCCUUUGAUACUGUUUGUCUUGAGUUCGAGAGAGGUAAGUGGAACUGCGAGUGUAGAGGUGAAAUUCGUAGAUAUUCGCAAGAACACCAGUGGCGAAGGCGGCUUACUGGCUCGAAACUGACGCUGAGGCGCGAAAGCGUGGGGAGCAAACAGGAUUAGAUACCCGCGUAGUCCCUGUCUCUUAUAU
rnacentral:rRNA from 1 species